rnacentral:tRNA from 1 species
GUCACUGAUCAGAGCCGGUUAGUUUCUGACUACGGAUCAGAAGGUUGGGGGUUCGAAUCCCUCCGGGCGCACGA